GCAGAGUAGAAACCUGCGCGUGGGGCGUUGCCCCGAAGUGCCUGACCAACGGGGAGUUGUGGCAGGACGAAGCAGCCGAAAGGCUCGCGGUGCCGGUUUCGCAUCCCACUGC
rnacentral:ncRNA from 1 species